rnacentral:rRNA from 1 species
AUUGAACGCUGGCGGAAUGCUUUACACAUGCAAGUCGAACGGCAGCACGGGGCAACCUGGUGGCGAGUGGCGAACGGGUGAGUAAUACAUCGGAACGUGCCCAAUCGUGGGGGAUAACGUAGCGAAAGUUACGCUAAUACCGCAUACGAUCUACGGAUGAAAGCGGGGGGAUCGCAAGACCUCGCGCGAACGGAGCGGCCGAUGUCAGAUUAGGUAGUUGGUGGGGGUAAAGGCUCACCAAGCCAACGAUCUGUAGCUGGUCUGAGAGGACGACCAGCCACACUGGAACUGAGACACGGUCCAGACUCCUACGGGAGGCAGCAGUGGGGAAUUUUGGACAAUGGGGGGCAACCCUGAUCCAGCCAUUCCGCGUGAGUGAAGAAGGCCUGGUGU